ensembl:lncRNA
AUGAUGUUGUUCCUACAGAUACAUAACUGGAUUGGAAACUAUCAAAGGUCUAAAAACAGCCUCAACCCUCCCAAAGAGCAAACUUUACACACGUCAUCUUUCAGCUACAAUCUUUGUUGCAGGGAUCUUCUGCCAAACAAGGCUGAGAGAAGAUUUCUUACAGCUGUCAUGUUGAUGCUGUUUCAAUCUUUGGGCAAACACACUCAUAUAUUAGGGCUGAUAUCAGGGCUGCACAAGUUCUUUGUGUUUGUGAUCAUGAAUAAUAGAAGUGUGCCUGUUGAAGAUCAUGUUUGCUACAUGAUUAUAUGUCCUGUUAUUGUUCUGUAUUAUAUUCAGCUUUCAGCAUCCUUUCCCAGCCCCUGUUACACCAUCCAUACAAAGCCAAUCUGACUGUGAGCCAAUGUGUUUGAUAGUUUGUGUUGGAUCAAUAGAUUUGACAGACUUGGUUCUCAUCCAGAGGGAAACAGUCCAAAUUCAGAUCUAAUGAAAUGAUGGAGGCUGUUUCCUACCACGGUGCUAAUGUGUGACUAACAAGGCUCAUGGUCUCCAGCAGACAAGCGCCUGGAAUGAGGUGAGCUGAGUGUUGCUUUGGUGGGUCUGUGCCCACGUCAUGCAUCAGGAUUCAUAUUGGCAAUAGUUCAUAUCUCUGUUCUUUAGCCUUCAUCACAAAGCUGUGAAGGAAAAACAAACAUCUAACAGGAUUUGAUGGAUGCAAAGUCCACUGAGCUCUUUGUCAUUUACAAACUUGUCCAACCAACAAGAGCACAGAUGAAAAACACAGUGACAGUUAAAGGAUUUUGCCAUAUAUGAGCAUAGAUUACUUUCAUAUAGAUUUUCAAUGCAGGCUUUUGGUGAGCCGCUGGGUUCUGUCUAAUAAUCAUCUCAGCAUUUUACAAUAGAAUAGCUCUUUAUUAGCUCUUCAUUUAUUGUUAUUGCACAUGAAACAAGGAAGCUGUGUUUCUCAUUGGAUGUUAGUUUCAUGUUCAUCAGGAUCAUUUUCUAAAGAGCUGAUAUUUAGACCAUUUACUGCACUGGCUGCACAUUCUGUCUACAUUUCUCUGUAUGUGCUGUGUUUGUCUUUCAUAUUUCUCCAUAUUGACACAAACAGUGAACAGCAGCAGAUCUACUCUUCAUCUGUUUUAGGCCCAGUGAAAGAUCUGAAGCAGAAAUGGUGUCAUUAGGAGAAGAAGUCAAAGGAGUUUGCAAAGAAAAGCGUCUGGACUUCUUUAAGUUGCUUGAAGACGUUUCACCUCUCAGAACUGAAGAAGCUUCUCGGAUGAGAGGUGAAACGUCUUCAAGCAACUUAAAGAAGUCCAGACGCUUUUCUUUGCAAACUCCUUUGACUACGAUGACCUGGAUGACUGAGAACCUUCACAGACAUUAGGAGAAGAAGAGAAGAAGAAGUACGGCGAGGAGGCAGCAGCUCUUAAAGAUGAAACACAGCAACUUAGCCCUGAGCUCAGAGAGCUUCACAUGAAAAAGCUCCUCAAGCAGAUCAUGUCAGAGGUUUGUCAUCAACAGGAGGAACUGUUCAUAUCAUAGAAUGAAGGAUGCUGUCAGCUGGAUGAAGAAGGUUAUUUAAUGGCAAACGUUCACAUUGAAGUCAAAUUGUUGUGGUGUUGAACAGAUUCAUGUACUGAUUGUCUCCAGAAUGUUAGAAGAGCUUCAAUGAAUCAUUAGAAACAACUUACAGCUGCACAGUUGUGUCAAACACAUCUUUGUGUCAUUGUGGGAUUUUUGUGUUUCUACAUGUGACACACGUCUAAAACAUGCACACAAUUUGAACACAAACAGGGACUCAUUUGUUCCCACAGCCAGAUGCUGAGAGCCAUUUCCUUGUAGUCCUGUGUCUAUAUAUAUGUACCAUUAGAUGUUAUUGGAAUGAUUGUCAGCUUUGAUAGUUUCAUGUAUGUUUAGCUGGACGGCUGUUUGAUCCUCCACAUGUUUAAAGGUGUCCAGUCCUGAGACACUGGGGGUGGAAACAGCUGUGAUGUCAUUGGACUGUCACAAAGACAGAAGUGCAUGAAGUGAGCAGCCAAGGAGCCGCUGAUGUUUUGGAUUCAACAGCAUUUGAAAGGUUGACACAGACACAUUUGCACAUAGAAAGCUGAAUUUGUCAUAAAUUUGACUUUGACAUAAAGACAUCAAACUCAAGCUGACUAUAAAUUCUACUUUUACAGUUUUUUCUGAAUGCUUAGACCCUAACUGUGAUUCUUAUAGCACAAUUUCUAAAACUAUUAAUACUUAUAGCAAAACCACUCACUGAGUUUGCAAAACUAAAAGCACAAACUCUGCUUUGCACUCAGUUUGCCAUUUUGUAACACACACUUUGCAAACCUGUAGCUACAAUCCACUGCACAGCACUCUUUUUGCAGAACUGUAAACACAACUCACGGC